UGGGGAAUUUUGGACAAUGGGCGAAAGCCUGAUCCAGCAAUGCCGCGUGUGUGAAGAAGGCCUUCGGGUUGUAAAGCACUUUUGUCCGGAAAGAAAUCCUUGGCUCUAAUACAGUCGGGGGAUGACGGUACCGGAAGAAUAAGCACCGGCUAACUACGUGCCAGCAGCCGCGGUAAUACGUAGGGUGCAAGCGUUAAUCGGAAUUACUGGGCGUAAAGCGUGCGCAGGCGGUUUGCUAAGACCGAUGUGAAAUCCCCGGGCUCAACCUGGGAACUGCAUUGGUGACUGGCAGGCUAGAGUAUGGCAGAGGGGGGUAGAAUUCCACGUGUAGCAGUGAAAUGCGUAGAGAUGUGGAGGAAUACCGAUGGCGAAGGCAGCCCCCUGGGCCAAAUACUGACGCUCAUGCACGAAAAGCGUGGGGAGCAAACAGGAUUAGAUACCCUGGUAGUCCACGCCCUAAACGAUGUCAACUAGUUGUUGGGGAUUCAUUUCCUUAGUAACGUAGCUAACGCGUGAAGUUGACCGCCUGGGGAGUACGGUCGCAAGAUUAAAACUUAAAUGAAUUGACGGGGUCAUAGCUGUUUCCU
rnacentral:rRNA from 1 species